CAGGCCUAACACAUGCAAGUCGAGCGGAAACGAGUUAUCUGAACCUUCGGGGGACGAUAACGGCGUCGAGCGGCGGACGGGUGAGUAAUGCCUAGGAAAUUGCCCUGAUGUGGGGGAUAACCAUUGGAAACGAUGGCUAAUACCGCAUAAUGCCUACGGGCCAAAGAGGGGGACCUUCGGGCCUCUCGCGUCAGGAUAUGCCUAGGUGGGAUUAGCUAGUUGGUGAGGUAAUGGCUCACCAAGGCGACGAUCCCUAGCUGGUCUGAGAGGAUGAUCAGCCACACUGGAACUGAGACACGGUCCAGACUCCUACGGGAGGCAGCAGUGGGGAAUAUUGCACAAUGGGCGCAAGCCUGAUGCAGCCAUGCCGCGUGUGUGAAGAAGGCCUUCGGGUUGUAAAGCACUUUCAGUCGUGAGGAAGGUAGUGUAGUUAAUAGCUGCAUUACUUGACGUUAGCGACAGAAGAAGCACCGGCUAACUCCGUGCCAGCAGCCGCGGUAAUACGGAGGGUGCGAGCGUUAAUCGGAAUUACUGGGCGUAAAGCGCAUGCAGGUGGUUUGUUAAGUCAGAUGUGAAAGCCCGGGGCUCAACCUCGGAAUAGCAUUUGAAACUGGCAGACUAGAGUACUGUAGAGGGGGGUAGAAUUUCA
rnacentral:rRNA from 1 species